CCGGUAUGUGGCUGUUGAAAUAUAUAUGCAACUUACCUGCGCCUAACAAAAAAACCUUAAUUUAUAACAGCGUACAUACACAACUAGGCUUAAAGUAUUUCUUCUAAUUGUCCAACGUUCUAUAUAUUCCAGUUGUAUCUCUGCGUUUGUGGAACAAAUAUUAUGGUUAGCUCUACAUUUGCCGGCUUCUAGUGAGCACGAUCUUUUUAUCAAUCCUGCAUGGAACAGCGAUAUACUUGAUCCAACAAAUCCUGAUCUCCUCAGUUUUCGCCGUCUCUCCAUAGUUUCCAGCUGCCAAUGAUUUGCCAGGGCCCAUCUCACUGCCACCUACAAUGGCAACGUUAGAACCGCUUUUCAGAAACACUGCUGUCGGUCAUUCCUAUACGCUUCUUGCGACCUUCGGCCUAACUGGAAACAUGAUUAACCUGACCGCCCCCAUGUCUUACGAGAGCUCGCUGUACGCGUGGUAUAGCUUCUGAUUCAAGUAUCGCAGGCUAUGAAAAUUAAACUGAAGUACGACCAGCUUCCGAUUGAAGCUUAAAACUUCUACCGCACACAUUCAAGAUGGCGUACUCUGUUACAAUCGAUGUAGCGCAGAGGGAAAGCGUUACGGAAACAAAUGUUAUUAAGGCAUUCUUCUGAUUACUGUCAUAGAGCUUGUCGUCAUCGGUACGGUACCCAUUAUGACCGCCUAUUCCCUGAUGACCACCAGCCGAACGGCUGAGUCGGAAGUUCGUCGUGUGUUUUGUCAAUUCGACAGAUGUUGCUGAGAAUGAUGACAAAGCAGGCCAUGCCUCGAGCCGCAUAGGUCCUUCCUGAUAUUCGCAAAAGGGCACCUUGAAGGGAUCACAUUGUUGUGGAAUAGCGGAGUCCUGAACAGAUAAUCACCAUUUUAGAUGUAAUUGAGUCGAACUGGUUUAAAUUGAACGAUGUUUCUACAAUCCCAAAUAUUAUUUUUUUAAAAUUUAUUAUUUAUAUUCAUUUAUUUAAUUAUAUGAAUUUAUUAAAUGUCGUUUCUUUUUUACAGUAAACAGGCCAGUCUAAAAUGUAUUUGAAUGCGGGUAUCGAGUACUUGAUUAAAGAAACGAGGAGUUGUGACAAACGGCCGAGCUAGUGCUCGA